ensembl:lncRNA
GGACAUGGUUAUUAAGCCUGCUAGUCUCUGGGUCAGCUCAGAAAGCAAUCAGAGUAAGCUCACACCUCUCUAGAGCUGUCUUUUUUGGUCCUAAGUGACUGCCUGUCCAGGGAGGUGACUAUGUGUCAAGCCAGGACACAGAGGCUGUGAAACACUAGCUGCUCCAAAAUAUCCAUGUAGGCGGCAUACACAGAUCACCAAGACCAAAGGCAAGCUACAUGUUCCAGCAGAAGAGUGGACGGUGCAUUCCCAUCUUAUUCAGAGUGUAAUGACUAUGGCACUUCUGGGCUUACUUACAAUGGAGACAGGACUACUUUGGAGGUAUUCCCUUGAAAACAGCAAAGAGAUUCUGGACUUUUGAAAUUUUUUAAUUGAAGCUAUCCGUGCUUUUUCUGUCACAUUAGAAAUUUGCAAGAGAACUUUUAAGUCAGUAAAUUCAGAUGUUGCUCCUGUUGGUGGGAUGUUUACAAUAAGAAAGGCUUUUGGGAUGCAGAAAGAAAGGUUCUUAUAUACCAGAUUUACCAAAAAUUUAUACGUGAUAAACAAUACUCAGUAACCAAAAGGAUAAUUUUUUAGUACAUUUUCUAGAAGGUGGAAAACUGAGAAUUUGGGAAAAUGUAGGCAGGUUGACAGGAGAAGUAAGAGCAUCCCUAUUUUGCUGCCUUCAUAAAAAGAACAAGUGCUUCCUAAAAGGUAUAUUUCAUCCAGAUGAGGGGUUUGGGGCUCAGUAGAGUCCAGCGUCCUGUGGCAUCUAUUGUAUAGGAGCUUGGAUGGACUUAUUUUCUAGGCCUUAAACCCAGCAAAUCUAUGAAGCAGAACAGGAAGGCUCAAUCAGGAUGGGUUUUAUGAACUGAAAGAGGAGCAAGGGAAAGCAAAGACCAAGCAGAGUAAUAAGAAAAGGAAAGAGAUGGAACAUUUCCAGUCUUAUAAAUCAGAAGUGAAGUGUUGGUGACAAUUCUCACAUCAAUGUAACAACAGAUCAAGACCUAUAUGUAACUGUGUUGAAAAGCCUUGCAAGGAAAAAUAUAAAGCUUCUCAAAUUUAAGGCUCUCCAGAAUCUUACGGGAAAAAAUGCUAGAAGAAAAACACUCAUAAAUGGGUUUUUAGUCUUAAUAGUAUAUAAAGCAACUUAUUUUAUUGCUUGAGGUGUACAGAUUGUAGUGUUGCGUUUCUGUGUUUUUCUCAGUAGCUUAUGAAGCACUGGUAGUAUGUAAUAUAUUUGAAUAGUGCCGUAAGUACCAGAAAAAGCAUUGUCGUUCAUAUUGCAAGAAACCGAUAAACAGCCAACAACAUAUAGCUAAAUGUGAAAUUACUGCUUCUCUCCAAUGGCACCCUAGGAAAACUGUCAUUUUCAGAUAUGAUCUCUACAGUCAAAUUAAAGUCUGAUGACUGCCUCAAGAUGUCCAUUUAUCACCCCAAAUGAAUCAAACUGAGUGAACAGUCAGCAAUACAUGAUUAUAUUCAAAGGCAACACAUCAGCACCUAUCGGCAAAAUUUCUAGCAGCAGUCAGAUAGCAGGAGCAGGAAAUAAGAGUACAACAAUAGAUCAGGUUAGAACAGGAUAUUGUAGAAUCUCAGCUUGAUUCAUAAAUAUAAAAUAAUGAACUGCUGCUUUAGUAGUCUUACCUGUCAAACUGUAUUAAAAAACUUUGAAAAGUGUUAUUGCUCCCUGUUACAGCUGAAGUUUUGGCCAGGGAAUUAAAUAGAAUGUACAGAAACAAAUGCAGAUGCUUUUUUUAAUGUAUGCAUAACUGAGAAGCAAGAAAAAAAAAAGAAAAGAAAGUAUGCAAUGCUCAUUUUUAAACUAUGAUUUUUACCCUGAUUUUUUGCUUUUGGAGUCCAAUUAAAGUCUUAUGAAACUCUUUGGCUGUUUUCAAAUUUCAAAUCUGAAAGAGUCUCCAGAGCUAUGAUUUAGUGCAUAUUAAAAAAAAAAAAUCAAGGAAGAAAAACGAAUAUGAAAAUCAAGGUGAAAAUCUGUGUGGAAUUACAAUUCUUCUCCAAGCAUUUGUUAGAGAGCAUGAAGAAUGUUUGAGCAGGAAAAUCCAGCCAAUAGAUGGAGGAUCAAGGUAAUGGGAGGUAAUGCAGAUCAACAGUUGGAAGCCUGGGAAAUAUCUGAAAAUCCAGCCUUAAGAAAGCAAUUUAUUGUACUGAGCACAUUUUUCUUUGUCUUGCAAAAUGUAGAAGUUGCAAAUGAAAUGCAUCACAAAAGUGGAUACGUUAAACACUGAGCUGAGUAUUAAAAUGGGAAGGAAACUACUUCCUGACAUAUCAAGCAGUCUCUGUGUAAACUAGUAUGGCUUAGAGGGCUGUGACCUGGCAAAAUGAGAGAAGCCACUGAAUAACAACAGCUUCUCAGUCACUGAUCAGAAGCACUUCUACUACUGCAUUCUCUUUGAGUCACAGCAGUACUACAAGCAGUGAGCUUCACAACAGGAAGAGUUCUACACUACUGGGCAGACAUCUGCUUGUAUUUAUAAAAUUCUACCUCUUGCAGCACUCUGGAGGACAAAAACUAAUUUUCCAUGUUGCACAAUCUGUGAAAUGCUCCUGAGGGUGAAAUGAGUGCACCCACUGGAGGAGAAAACUCUGGAGGCACUCUUACACAAAAUCUGAAUAUCUCACCACCUGGACUUAAAAUGCUCGUGACGUAGAAAUGCAUUUGAAGACUGGUAACAAGAAAGUCCAACUGAGUUAUAAGUGAACUAAAGAAUGCUCCUGGAUAAGUCUGUAUAAUGAGAAAAGAUGAACCUGCAUGUUUAUGAUCAGGAUCUGCAAAAGAACAAACUAAAUAUUUCUAGUUCUGCAGCCACUUAGGCUAGAAAAGAGAUCCUUAUCUUAAUAGCACAGACUCUAGAGCACUCAUUACAUCAAAGUGAAUAUGACAGAAUUUUCCAGACGUAACACUGACCUGAUUUCAUGGAAAAAGAAUUUCAAAGGAAGGGCAUAUCAGGUUUGCAAGAGCCUCAGUCGCCAUUUGGAUUUAGGUAUGUAGCUAAAUCCCCAUUGACACUGAAGUCAUGUGGACAGUGUUGCAUAGAGUGAGCAGAAGAAGAUAUACCAUUUAUACCUUGUGCUUGAGCACAUCCACAUCACGGAUAUCAAUUUUACUGAGAUGAGUGUGUUCUCUCUUUUUGAAAAGAAACCUGAAAUAGAUGUGCACAUGAAUCACUCUUGUGUGUGUGAAUUGCCUGUGGGUUCUCAGCAACUGUGGAAUUUGAUGGAUCGAUAGCUCUUAUGGUAAGAGCUAUGGCCCAAAAGUGACAAAAAUGACUCUAAUGAUCCUUUGGCAAGAUGCUGCGAAUUCACAGGAGGUGGAAUUUGGAGCCAUAAGGCAGCCAAGGGAGGCUUCUUUCCAAGCUGAGCCAGCUGCUAGCGCAGAGAGGAAGGCACUGGCUCUUCUAAAGGCCAACAGUAUCAAGCUUGCAAGUUACAGAGGACCGAAGCUAGUGCUGAGCAGAAGUGCUUCAUUCUGAAAGCUUACCUAACUUUUACCUCUCUCUGUUACAUUCACUUUCUGACAUGCAGAGAUACCUGUCCCCAAAGGUGGCUUAUAAGAAAAAUGAAGUAAUAAUGAAAAAGCUGUUCUUUUUAAAAAUUACCUCUUAAAAAUGUUGGCCCAGUAUUUUUCUGACAGACCUGAAAGGGUUUCAAGUGGGUUGGUCAAAUAUCAUGUGGCAGCAGUUCACCCUCUCAGGUUGGCAGCAGCUGUUGCAUUAACAAGUGAGGACAACCUGUGAUUAGUGGCUGCAGGACUGUACUUUACCCAGGGAAUUGAUAACCACCUUCAAUUGCUGACAGCAGUUCAUUUUCUCCAAGGUGAAGGAGUGAAUAUGAGCUCUUGUAUCUGAUUAUAAGUUCUUCUCUCCUGGCUGAUCUGCAAGAGCUGAGCUGCUGGAAAACCUAAAGAGAAGUGAGAUAAGCCAAGCAGAGGUGAAAUUUACAGGUUGCAUAACCCAGCUCUAGAUAUUUCUAGACUCUCUGAAUUCAUAUACUCCAUUUUCUGCAUCGGUGCUGAGACAGAUAUACGAAAAGAUUUUUUCCUUCCAAUUUUCUUUGGUCAUAGAAGAACUCAGAGCAUAUUUAUUGGUUAUGUAAAGAGUAGCAAAACAGAAUAAGUAAUGACACAGACAGGAAGCCUUGGUUAUUUCUUACAGCUUUACAUUUUUUAUUUACUGAGGACAUGUAGAAGUAAUCAGAUAAUUGAGCAUUUGAUCACAUCUUCUGUCCUGAAUAAAGCUUUGCUUCUACAAGCACAGAAUAGUUUAAGACUCUGCAUGUCUCACUUGUGGAUGAUAAUUAGAUCUUUAAGCAUUUAAUUGGACUUGCACAUAAUUACAGGUAGUAAAGAAAGCGUUUGAAAAAUGAAUUUCCAUUUCCAAAUAAGUUUGCCAGAUGGUUUUAUUUUCAUAUUUAAAAUAAGUGUACACUGUCUGGGCAAAUGUCUCGUCUUUUUCCUGAGAAGUAGAACUAGACGUGAAAGGGUAGUACCUUCUAAUUUCUUUAGUCUAUAGUCAUUUGCUCAGGCUAUCAAUGAUGGAUCCAGUUAACAAUAGAUGUGCAGGUGUAUUUUAUCUAUGUCCCACUCAAAUAUCCUUUUUACAUGGAAAGACCAAUGACUGGUUCAUUUAAUAUAGUAACAAGUAACUGUUCAAUAUAGUCAUUAUUAUCAUAGAAAAUUGUAACUUUUGAUCAACAGCAACAAAUCUAUAACUCCUCUUGAGCUGGCAAUCUGCAGGGAACAAUUUUCAUUCCAUUAUCAACUGCAGUAGUAGUAUUGUGUUAUUAAGUACUUUUGUUCAGUAUUUUGUUUUGGCUGAAUAUAAUAAUAAAACGUAUGUGUAAGAAGUCAGAGCCAUUUUUAUCCUCGAUUUUGUUGUGUGUGAUGUCCAUACUGCAGAUGAUAUACUUCAACAGAAAAGCCUCUAAGGAGUCAGGAUCACAAGACGUGUAUUGUUAUUGAUGUGCAUUGCAUAGGUUUAUAGAUAACACAGUUUCAAAUACAGCAUUGUAUAUUUUUGGCCAUGACAAUCUGUGUUAAGUUUUAGAGAAAGCUGUGUGAAGGAAAACCUCAUAGUGUUGUGCAGAUAUGUUUAAAGUUUAAAAAAUAUAUUUUUAAGAAAGUUUUAUUUUGGCAAACUCUGAAAUAACAGUUCCCCAAACACAGAUUUCAGAAAACAUGGUGUUUGGUAAACACCCUCAUUCCAUUAUAGAAACACUACUGUACAUGGUUGGUAUGCAAAAGGAAACUGAAACAGAAAAAGAAAGACAAAUUUUGAAAUUAUGUACAAUUUUGCUUAUGAAUACUGAGUGAUUAAUUAUUCUUAAACCACUUAUUCAAUCAGCUUUUUCUUUUAAAUUUUGUUUGAUUUUCAAGUUUAUAUAAACUGGUAGAACUGUAACAUCAUCACAUCUUACAUGCAGAAAAGAUCAUUUUCAUUUCCUCGGAAUUAUCUAGGUUUCCAUGUAUUUGGCAAAUUUCAUGUGUUACAGUGGCUCUUGUAAUAGAACAAACAGAUUAUCAAGCUUUCUUUGUGGUACAGAAGAGAUCACGUGCUUUCCGUGAUACGUGAACGUGAAAAAGGACAGUCUUAGUCCACCUUAUGUCAUUUUGGGUUUGAUUUUUCUUUUUUUUUGGACAACAUGUAUUUUUUGUAAAUGUUUAUAAUUUUUAAUAAAUUUUUCAGUACAUACUGAAAAUAUUUAUUUACAACUUUCUCUUUUUAGUUUAAAAUUGUGAUGUGACAUUGAAAAUCUGGGGAGUUCUCUUCAGAAAUUCUACAGAUACACUCAGCUAAUGAAACUUUAGUGAAACUAUGUUAGAGGUUAGCCUUGAUCCCUCCAGAUAACCAUUAAAAAAAAGGCAAAGGUUGCCCAACUGAAAUUUCACUCUACAUGUGGGAUGAUCUGACUAUGAUCUAUUCUGUUUCAGUCUAGAGCUGGAAGUCAUUUUAGCAAGCAAGUAUAAAAAAACUUAGUAAUCACUUCGACAAAGAGUCUUCUGGUUUAGUUCUCUGGCAUGGUAGCCAUUUUUUUUCCUUUCUUUUUGUUUUCUUUCUUAUCCUCUCUAUAUGAAGGAAUAGAUUAAUUCACAAAUUCUUAUUUUCUUUGUCACUGGGCUGUGCUGCUGCCUAUCACAAUUUGAGGGGUUGUUCAGCUUGUCAGUUCAGUCAAUUUCUCCAAGUUUCCUUCAGUCAUUUCCUUUGUCUUCUUUGAAGAAUCAUUCUAUUUCAGGUCAUUUAAAAUUGAGUGGUGCCAGGAAACUGAAAUAGGUUUAACAGUAAUCUUGUUCCUUUUUGUAUCAUUCUCCUGCACAAGACAGUAAGCUUCAGAUUUUCAACACAGAUGUUUAUUCAAUACUUAUCUUUUCAUUUUCUGGCUAAGAGUCUUGAAAGGAGGCAUCUGAGACAUUGUGAGACUUCUCAGUCAUGGGCUUGUAACUCGAUUUCUUUGCAGAAAGAACAGUCUAUAAGAUUUAGAGGCUUUCAAAAAAACAGAAUUCAUACAUUGGGUUGGUUUGACCAUCUCUGAACCCUGAAUGCAAAUCUGCAUGACUUUCACUACCAAUUCCACUGCAUUUGCUAUAUCUAAUACUUUGAGACAGUUAUUACAUUUCAAUCCUCCAAAUAUUGCCACAAGAUAGGCAUAUGUCCUAUAUUAUAUCCUCCAGGAUGUUUCCAAGUGUUUAACAAUCAGAUAAUUGUUUUUGCUCUUAUCAAAACGACAGUUUCACCUUGUUUCUCCAAUCUACUAAAAAGUCUGAAAUGUUCUAUAUUUAGUAGCUAUCACACAUUAGUGGCUUCAGUGGUCUUCUGUGAUUUUGGUGGUUUUGGCAACAAAAUUUUUCACAGGGAAAAGAUCUGAUUUUCACAAAUAUGAGAAGAUGGGAAAUAGGAGGAGGGAUAGAGGGAACAAAUCAGUGUUAAUCCUAAUCUGUGAUCUCAUGCAUAAGAAUUUGCCGUACCUUUUCAGUUGCUGCCAAUUCCAGUUUUCUGCCAAUUCCAGUUUUCUGCCAAACGUCAAUUUUCACACAGAGUGUGAAACACUUUCCAUUUCCAAACUUAUAACAGAUCUGCUGGACUUGAACUCACUCCAGUAAGUUGCAGUUAAUUUAAAUACAUCACAAGCAAAAUGAAAGGAAAGAUUUCACUUAAGCAGAGUAAAGGAAAUGAGUACUGCCCUUUUGGUCAGAUCAGACUUGUUAUAGAUGAGGCUGAUCCUCGUAAAAAUCAUUUAACAAAUGCUCUAGUUCAAUAGUAUGAAGAUAAAUGACAAAAUGCUUAUCGUUCAUUUUACUGGUAAACUAGAGACUAAACACAACACUUUGUACAAGAUAUUCUAAUAAGGAGUACAAAAAAAAAAAAUACUGAUCAAAUUAGGGUAAAAAGGAAAAUGUAAUUUGGCUGUGUUGUACUUUGCCUACAGUACUGAUUAUAUUUUGUAGACCCUUGUCUAAUUUUGGGUUGUCCAUAUUGGGUAAGAAAACCUACUGUGAACCUGAUCAGUAAAAUUCUAAUACAAGUAUACUUGUGCUUCUGAAAUAACAGUCCUCCAUGCAGAUCUAAGUUCUCAUUUGUCAGGGAAAAAUGGAAGAAACUUCUGCAAGGCAGGCAAGGAGACAGAUAUUUUGAGUCAAAUAGCUGUAUGUAGUCUUCUGCAUUAAAUUAUUAUUAAACAGAGUUUAAUAAUUCAGAGAAGAGAGAUCUGUAGCAUGAGCCUCCCAGAUAACUUCAACUAGAAGCACAUCAGUCUAAACAUCCAUUUUGUUGAUUCUACAUCAUAUUUGAUAUGAUUAAAUGGCAUUAGACAUCGUCAUGUCAUUUGGUAUGAUUCAGUUUCAGUAGAGAAACAUGAAAGUAUUAGGUAACCCGGGAUUGAUGGGUAAAUUUCUUCAUCUCCCUCUAGUACAUUUCAUCAAAGGGAAAUCAAGACAUUUCCCUGCCUUGAACAGAAAGAGAAUCAUUCUCCCUCCUGUCUAACCAAUGGCCUUGAGAUCUUGGAGCCUGGCAUGCCUGAGAAGGAUGCCUCUUUGCAAUGUUAUAUAGUCUGUAUUGUCUAAGCAAAAUUUCAGGUUCUCAAAUACAAUGUCAACUUGGCACCACAUUGUUUUCUCCUUUUCUGAAAGUCUUUAUCCUUUUGGAGUUCCUCUCUGCUCUUCAUGCUGUUUUCUAGAUUUGGACCCUGAACUCCCCAGGAACUGGCUGUGCUGCCUUGCAGCAGCUGUUCAUGCAAGGAGAUAAAGCCAUUGGAGUCCCAAAAUUAAUCAUAAAAACAAGAGAGAUCAACAUGCCUUCAACAGUUCAAACAUGUUUAUUCAAACAGAAGAAUGGAAAACUAGGUCAAAGAUCAAACCCAAGCAAAACAAGAUAGGAAAAAACAGCAUGUAGAUAAGAUACAUAGUAUAUAGCCAAACACAACUUGAUUAAGCAAAUAACACACAAACCAUAUCAAAAAGAUUUCUCAGGCAUAAACAUGUGGAUGCAUAAGUGAGGAAGACUAUCAUAUUCUUUCCUCAGAUCCAGUAAAUGCUGUCAACUGUUCCUUCAUUACUACUGAGAUGCAUUGGUUGUUGGCAUUCUGCUGGAAUGCUGGGUAUUUCUUAUUUUGAAAAGUAUUCAGCCUGUCUCCAUUUGAAUUUUCAUGAGGGCAACUUGAAGUAUAAUGUCUGCAGGUCAUGUCUAGAGUCUCAGCAAUGUUUUGUAAGUAGGACUAAGACAAGAACUAAAAGGCUCAAAGAAAUUCCUAGUUUGGCUCUUUUCACUAUUUUGCUCUUAGGGGAGGUGUUGUCGCACAAGUAGGAAUUGGCAAUGACUAUUUUCUAUAUUUUUAAUGCUGAUAUGCUGGGUAUUUCAGGCAAAACACCACUGCUUGUCUGAAUGGGUCUGUGUACCAGCUUUUGCUGUGCUAGAAGAAUUAGCACUGAGAUUGCAGAGGCAGGUUUGCAGGAGGCUGUGCAAAAGUCCUCCCACUAACAGUAACUGUGGAUAUGGAAACAGUAACAUGAGAAUGCAGUAAACAGCUGUGUUGUUGGAGUUAUUGGUUAUGGAGCUGCACAGUGCUUUUGCUUUCAGAGCACACUGUGCACAAUUUGAAAUUGUACCAGGCCUGAUGUGAUGUAUCAGUGUCAUAUAUACAAACUGACUUCUGAUGACUGGAGUGCUCUAAAGGACUGAUGAGACAUGAAGUAAGCAGGACAAGAUCAUGCUCCAUUGCACGGUGAAGCUACACAGCUUCCUUCUUUGCCAUUGUGUUGCAUCUUCUCAGGAAACUCUAAAAUGCGAUCAGCAGGGAAUUCCAUCUCUUACCUGUUAGAGAAGAUAAAAAUGAUAUGGAGAAGAGCAUCAUGGUAGAAAAAUGAGCUUCCUGAAUGAGGCUUUCAGGUUCUCCUGAUAACAUGGCAUUCACUAAACCAGAGGACAUUUGUCACUCACAU